rnacentral:rRNA from 1 species
UGGGGAAUAUUGCACAAUGGGCGAAAGCCUGAUGCAGCGACGCCGCGUGAGGGAUGACGGCCUUCGGGUUGUAAACCUCUUUCAGCAGGGACGAAGCGCAAGUGACGGUACCUGCAGAAGAAGCACCGGCUAACUACGUGCCAGCAGCCGCGGUAAUACGUAGGGUGCAAGCGUUGUCCGGAAUUACUGGGCGUAAAGAGUUCGUAGGCGGUUUGUCGCGUCGUUUGUGAAAACCAGCAGCUCAACUGCUGGCUUGCAGGCGAUACGGGCAGACUUGAGUACUGCAGGGGAGACUGGAAUUCCUGGUGUAGCGGUGAAAUGCGCAGAUAUCAGGAGGAACACCGGUGGCGAAGGCGGGUCUCUGGGCAGUGACUGACGCUGAGGAACGAAAGCGUGGGUAGCGAACAGG